AUUGAACGCUGGCGGCAGGCCUAACACAUGCAAGUCGGGCGAGUGGCGGACGGGUGAGUAAUGCUUGGGAAUCUAGCUUAUGGAGGGGGAUAACUACGGGAAACUGUAGCUAAUACCGCGUACCAUAGGAUGAGCCCAGGUGGGAUUAGCUAGUUGGGGAGGUAAAGGCUCACCAAGCCGACUAUCUCUAGCUGGUCUGAGAGGAUGACCAGCCACACUGGAACUGAGACACGGCCCAGACUCCUACGGGAGGCAGCAGUGGGGAAUAUUGCGAAAUGGGGGCAACCUGACGCAGCCAUGCCGCGUGAAUGAAGAAGGCCUUCGGGUUGUAAAGUUCUUUCGGUAGGGAGGCGUUAACUGCAGAAGAAGCACCGGCUAACUCCGUGCCAGCAGCCGCGGUAAUUC
rnacentral:rRNA from 1 species